GAUCCUGGCUCAGGAUGAACGCUAGCUACAGGCUUAACACAUGCAAGUCGAGGGGCAGCAUGAACUUAGCUUGCUAAGUUUGAUGGCGACCGGCGCACGGGUGAGUAACACGUAUCCAACCUUCCGUUUACUCAGGGGAUAGCCUUUCGAAAGAAAGAUUAAUACCUGAUAGUAUGGUGAGAUUGCAUGAUAGCACCAUUAAAGAUUUAUUGGUAAACGAUGGGGAUGCGUUCCAG
rnacentral:rRNA from 1 species